rnacentral:lncRNA from 1 species
AUGAUCUUGUCUGCUUCCACCUACAACACAGACUUUCUGGCAAAGGCUCUGGCCCUGUUGGGAAAACCCGAAGUUUGCCAAAGACUGAGUGGAUGGAGUGUCACUCUUUUUGCCCAUGCUGGAGUGCAAUGGCACAAUCUUGGCUCAUUGCAAGCGCCACCUCCUGGGUUCAAGCAAUUCUCCUGCCUUAGCCUCCCAAGUUGAUGGGAUUACAGUGAGAGCUUCCUGAGGCAUUCCCAGAAACCGAGCAGAUGCUGGC